AUUGCCAUUUAAAUUAUUACUAAUCCAUAAAGUAAUUGGUCAAAGUAUCGAUAGCUUCUGAAUAAAUCGGCACUUGUAUUGUGUAACAGUAAGAUUGAAAAAAAGAGCGACAUCUAAGACACCGUCGCAGGAUAUUUAAAAAAAACAAAAGAUACACUCAACUACUGUAAGAAAUGUUCAUCAUGAAGAUAUUUUUGUUGGCAGUUUUGCUAGUGGCUUUGUUUGCUGCCGAAACUUCUGCAUGUAUUCCAAACGGCGCUAUGUGCUCGUCAUUUCAUGUGAAUUGUUGUGAAGGUUGGUGUCAAGCUAUGGGUACAGUAGGGAUGUGUACGAAAUAAAUCAGCUUGAAUUAACUUUGAAUUCUCUUUUAACAAAGUUUAUAUAUAUAUUUUUUCCAUAUUUAUAAGAAAACAAGUACGACUAUUUUUCUGUGGAAUUCCUGCGGUUUUAUCUAUUAAAAUUUGUAAAUUUUGUCCAACGAAAUUUAAAAAUAUGUUCUAUGUAUAUAAAUACCAUUUAUUGCUGACUAAAAAUUUCAAAAGUUUAUUUGAAAAUAAAAAAUAAAAAAAUUCUGCGGCCUAACGCAUUUGCAUUACAAACAUCUAAAUAUUUUUGGUCCUAAAAAUUUAUUAUACCUGUAUCUUUGAUGAUGUUCUGUAUU